rnacentral:lncRNA from 10 species
GCCUGUUGCCAUUGAAACAAAGUUCAUCCUUGGUGGAAAAUGCUGAUCUUCAUAGAGCACUGCUGUCUUUUUUAUUAGGAUGGUUAAUCCCUUCCUACAUGUUCAGGGCGGGUACGGGCCUCCCUGGGCUUCUGGACUAAUUUUCACACGCAAAAGCUUAGAGAUGACUUGGGUGGUAGAAGUUCAGAGCGGGGAGAAAGCUUAGGAAUCGUUCUAGUCAAAUCCUCUUCUUUUACAGAAGAAAGUCCAGUCCAGAAAGAAGGGAUUGGUCCCGUAGCCAUCCAGCCCCUCAGUGACUUAGGCAGGGUUGAAACUCGUAGAUAACUGACAGGCAGAGGUAGCACCAAAAAGGGACCCUCAACCAGAGGUUCCCAGCACCUUUCAUUACCUUAACUGUGCUCUGGGAGCCUUCAGUGCUGUGGAUGGGGUGUGGAUUGCAGCCUGCCUUAGUCUGCUUUUGUGUAAGCCUUUAUUGGCUGCUCAGUAUGGGUCAAGCAGUGGACGAAGCUCUCAUAGCAUGUAUGUCUCACUUAAUCCGAGGCCGUGCCAUCUGGUGCUACAGAGACAGGAUCUGGAGCCAGCAGACCUGGACUCAAGUCCCAGCUCCACUUCUCAAGAGCCACAAGGAUUUGGGGCUAGCAGUGCCAAGUAACUGACAGGUGAUUAAUAGAUGCUUG